rnacentral:tRNA from 1 species
GUCCUGUGGUGUUGUGGUUAUCACGUCUGCUUCACAAGCAGAAGGUCCCCGAUUCGGUCCGGGCAAGGAUU